GGAUGUGAGGGCGAUCUGGCUGCGACAUCUGUCACCCCAUUGAUCGCCAGGGUUGAUUCGGCUGAUCUGGCUGGGUAGGCGGGUGUCCUCUUCCUCCCUCACCGCUCCAUGUGCGUCCCUCCUGAAGCUGCGUGCACGGUCGAAGAGGACGACCUUCCCCGAAUAGAGGAGGACCGGUCUUCGGUCAAGGGUAUAGAGUAGCUGCGCUCCCCUGCUAGAACCUCCAAACAAGCUCUCAAAGUAAUAUGUUGUUUAGGUCUGAGUUGGCAGAGAAGGGAUAACUGGAAUCCUUUCAGGAGCCUGCUCUCUCUCAAG
rnacentral:snRNA from 1 species